CCUACGGGAGGCAGCAGUGGGGAAUCUUGGACAAUGGGCGCAAGCCUGAUCCAGCCAUGCCGCGUGAGUGAAGAAGGCCCUAGGGUCGUAAAGCUCUUUCAACUGUGAAGAUAAUGACGGUAGCAGUAGAAGAAACCCCGGCUAACUCCGUGCCAGCAGCCGCGGUAAUACGGAGGGGGUUAGCGUUGUUCGGAAUUACUGGGCGUAAAGCGCGCGUAGGCGGAUUAGUCAGUCAGAGGUGAAAUCCCAGGGCUCAACCCUGGAACUGCCUUUGAUACUGCUAGUCUUGAGGUCGAGAGAGGUGAGUGGAAUUCCAAGUGUAGAGGUGAAAUUCGUAGAUAUUUGGAGGAACACCAGUGGCGAAGGCGGCUCACUGGCUCGAUUCUGACGCUGAGGUGCGAAAGUGUGGGGAGCAAACAGGAUUAGAUACCCUGGUAGUCCACACCGUAAACGAUGAAUGCCAGUCGUCGGGUA
rnacentral:rRNA from 1 species